UCGAGCGAAGCAUAAGAGAGGAAGUUUUAAAUGGAAUCUAUUAUGACUGAGCGGCGGACGGGUGAGUAACGCGUGGGGAACCUGCCCUAUACAGGGGGAUAACAGUUAGAAAUGACUGCUAAUACCGCAUAAGCGCACGGAGCCGCAUGGCGCUGUGUGAAAAACGAUAGUGGUAUAGGAGGGACCCGCGUCUGAUUAGGUAGUUGGCGGGGUAACGGCCCACCAAGCCGACGAUCAGUAGCCGACCUGAGAGGGUGACCGGCCACAUUGGGACUGAGACACGGCCCAAACUCCUACGGGAGGCAGCAGUGGGGAAUAUUGCACAAUGGGGGAAACCCUGAUGCAGCGACGCCGCGUGAGUGAAGAAGUAUUUCGGUAUGUAAAGCUCUAUCAGCAGGGAAGAAGAAGGACGGUACCUGAGUAAGAAGCCCCGGCUAACUACGUGCCAGCAGCCGCGGUAAUACGUAGGGGGCAAGCGUUAUCCGGAUUUACUGGGUGUAAAGGGAGCGUAGACGGCGGAGAAAGUCUGAAGUGAAAGCCCGCGGCUCAACCGCGGAAUGGCUUUGGAAACUUUUUUGCUGGAGUACCGGAGAGGUAAGCGGAAUUCCUAUUGUAGCGGUGAAAUGCGUAGAUAUUAAGAAGGAACACCAUUGGGCAAGGCGGCUUAAUGGACGGUAACUGACGUUGAGGCUCGAAAGCGUGGGGAGCAAACAGGAUUAGAUACCCUGGUAGUCCACGCGGUAAACGAUGAAUGCUAGGUGUUGGUGGACAAAGUCCAUCGGUGCCGUCGCAAACGCAGUAAGCAUUCCACCUGGGGAGUACGUUCGCAAGAAUGAAACUCAAAGGAAUUGACGGGGACCCGCACAAGCGGUGGAGCAUGUGGUUUAAUUCGAAGCAACGCGAAGAACCUUACCAAGUCUUGACAUCCCAAUGAAUGACAGGUAAAGCUGUCAGCCCUUCGGGGCAUUGGAGACAGGUGGUGCAUGGUUGUCGUCAGCUCGUGUCGUGAGAUGUUGGGUUAAGUCCCGCAACGAGCGCAACCCUUAUUGUCAGUAGCCAGCAGGUAGAGCUGGGCACUCUGAUGAGACUGCCAGGGAGAACCUGGAGGAAGGUGGGGAUGACGUCAAAUCAUCAUGCCCCUUAUGAUUUGGGCUACACACGUGCUACAAUGGCGUAAACAAAGAGAAGCGAGAGUGUGAACUGGAGCAAAGCUCAAAAAUAACGUCUCAGUUCGGAUUGCAGGCUGCAAUUCGCCUGCAUGAAGCUGGAAUCGCUAGUAA
rnacentral:rRNA from 1 species